GAUGAACGCUGGCGGCGUGCUUAACACAUGCAAGUCGAACGGAGAGGCCACAGCUUGCUGUGGUACUCGAGUGGCGAACGGGUGAGUAACCCGUGGGUGAUCUGCCCUGUACUUCGGGAUAAGCUUGGGAAACUGGGUCUAAUACCGGCUAGGAAUCACAUGUGGGUGUGUGGUUGGCAAGGUUUUGCGGUAUGGGAUGAGCUAGCGGCCUCUCAGCUUGUUGGUGUGGUAAUGUCCUACCAAGGCGUCGACGGGUAGCCGGCCUGGGAGGGUGUACGGCCACAUUGGGACUGAGAUACGGCCCAGACUCCUACGGGAGGCAGCAGUGGGGAAUAGUGCACAAUGGGCGCAAGCCUGAUGCAGCGACGCCGCGUGGGGGAUGACGGCCUUCGGGUUGUAAACUCCUUUCGUCAGGGACGAAGCGAAAGUGACGGUACCUGGAGAAGAAGCACCGGCUAACUACGUG
rnacentral:rRNA from 1 species